GGAUUAGGCAUGCAAGUCGAACGUGAUCCAGGUCUUCGGACUUGGUGAAAGUGGCGGAAGGGUGAGUAACGCAUAGACAACCUACCCCCGAGUCUCGGGAUAACUCCGGGAAACCGGAGCUAAUACCGGAUGGCGUCGCCUGUGGGCAUCCAUGGGCGACUAAAGGAGGCCUCUGAACCAUGCUCCCGCUCGGGGAGGGGUCUAUGUCCUAUCAGCUAGUUGGUGAGGUAACGGCUCACCAAGGCUUCGACGGGUAGCCGGCCUUAGCGGGUGUCCGGCCACACUGGGACUGAGACACUGCCCAGACUCCUACGGGAGGCUGCAGUCGAGGAUCUUCUGCAAUGGGCGCAAGCCUGACAGAGCGACGCCGCGUGUGGGAUGAAGGCCUUCGGGUUGUAAACCACUGUCACGGGUUAUGAGACGCCAGGGUGUUAACAGCAUCCUGGCUUGACAAAGGCCCGAGAGGAAGCCACGGCUAACUUCGUGCCAGCAGCCGCGGUAAGACGAAGGUGGCGAGCGUUGUUCGGAAUCACUGGGCAUAAAGCGCACGUAGGCGGCGACGUAAGUCGGGUGUGAAAUCCCUCGGCCCAACCGAGGAACUGCGCCCGAUACUGCGUUGCUUGAGGGCCAAAGGGGUGCAUGGAAUUCCCGGUGGAGCGGUGAAAUGCGUUGAUAUCGGGAGGAACGCCGGCGGCGAAGGCGGUGCACUGGUUGGCUCCUGACGCUGAUGUGCGAAAGCCAGGGGAGCAAACGGGAUUAGAUACCCCGGUAGUCCUGGCCGUAAACGAUGGGCACUAAGUAGAGGGGUUUU
rnacentral:rRNA from 1 species